UGCCCUAAAACAAGCUUUGAACUUAAAAACCUGAAAAGCAUUUUAUUUGGAAUAAAAGAAUCCGCAGUGUCACACAUUUGUCAGCUAAUAUGUUCCUUCCUAUGCUUUGUUUUAAUUUUUUGGAGUGAUUGUUUAUGAACGAAGCCUUUGGUUUCUCGGAGGCUGGUUUGGUCUUUCUACCCAUUCUUCACAGAAAACGAUAAUCCUCCUGAUAGCAUAAUCAUCACCGUAGCAACCGAAGGCGAUGUCACCAACAGGAUUAUGACUUAAGAGCCCAGAUUUGCAUCUCACACCCGCUACUUACGCGCCAGGGGCCUCUGUGGAUGCCACUCCACAGCCUCGUGUGUUAAGAGGCACACAAGAGCUGCCUGAUUGGCUCCCAAGCUCAGAACCAGGAGCCAGGGAAAUCAUAGCGAAAUCAGAACCUGAUGUGGCCCCGUCAGCAUCACGCGCACACUCAGAGCAAAAUGACCUGCUCUUCAAUGUAAUUUGGUUUAGUUUAGUUCAGUUGUCCUGCCCACCAGCUCCUGACCCUCCCGCCACUGAGGGGUGGUAUUUGAAAGCACAGGCAAGUUAAUGAAGCAUCCAAUUCAUGCCAGCUUUUAUCUGUCAGAGAAACACCAGCGAGCAAGGUAGAGACACCAAGCCAAACCCUGAUGUCUCUAAGGUCAUCUGAGGCAGACACAUUGAACCUGACCUUGAGAGUAUCCUUGACCACUUGACCAAGAGGCCAGAGACUCUACAAGUGUGCUCAGGCCGGACAACUUCCUGUGCCUGGCAGGAAGACUCAAGAUGCCAGCUUCUCCCCUAAACCAUGUGAACUCAUCAACAUGCAGCCAUUUUAAACUAUAAAAACGGCAAUUUCAACUGAAACAGUGGACCAUUGCCUAUUUUACUGGAAAUUUCUCUCUUAGAGUAUGAUGGAAAGAGGAUUGGGUGUAAGAGACCUGGCUGCAAGGCUCACCUCCACUAAGUGACCAUAGAUAUUUUGGACACUAAUGUACCGUGAGUCACCUUAUUCCUUUGGCCCACAGCUUCUUCAUCUGGGAAAGGAAGACAUUGGAUUGUAAAGUAAGAAUAACCCACAUUUUUUAUCGUUUGCAAUAUGCUAGGCAAUGUGCUAGUUACUUAAUUAUCAAAGAGACAAUUAAGAUUGAAAAGUAGUUAUUAACUAACUCUUCACCAACCCAGCAGGUGGAGACUGUCAUUAUUCCCAUUUAUUAGAUUGGGUCAUUGAGCUCAGGAUGGUGCAUGUGCUGCAUCUGAAAGGCUGGGGUCUGGUGCUCACUUCUGGGCUGUUGAUGACUGGGUUCAGAUGCAUCAUUGUGCAUCCCUUUCUUAGCAGAGGAUUCCUUGCUGCUCUACUAUGGACAAUGUAUUGCUUUACAGUCUUUUCACUGGAGACCACUCACCUGCAGUGACAUUUGUAGAAAGCAGUCUCUAAGCUGCAAAGCCCUGCCUGUCACCAGACCCACGUAGAGGGAAUCUCACUUGCUUUAUGAUGUCCAGAGUGCUCCUCAUGUUGCCCUGUGGGUUUUAUUUUCCUGUUGUCCACUGGAUAUGGCCUACUGGCAUUUAGCAUGAAUUUCCAGCUCCUCCACAAGCUCUUCUUGUACUACUAAGGUUGAAAAAUUAAAAAAUACAUUUUCUAGAA